rnacentral:rRNA from 1 species
AACGAACGCUGGCGGCAGGCCUAACACAUGCAAGUCGAACGCUCGUAGCAAUACGGGAGUGGCAGACGGGUGAGUAACACGUGGGAACCUUCCCUAUGGUUCGGAAUAGCUCAGGGAAACUUGGGGUAAUACCGGAUAAGCCCUUCGGGGAAAGACUUAUCGCCAUUGGAUGGGCCCGCGUCGGAUUAGCUAGUUGGUGAGGUAACGGCUCACCAAGGCAACGAUCCGUAGCUGGUCUGAGAGGAUGAUCAGCCACACUGGGACUGAGACACGGCCCAGACUCCUACGGGAGGCAGCAGUGGGGAAUAUUGGACAAUGGGCGCAAGCCUGAUCCAGCCAUGCCGCGUGAGGGAUGACGGCC